GCCGCGGGAGCUCCCCUCUCCGGGGCCUGGGUGGGCGAAAAGGACCGCACUCCCACCCCCCUUCUCCGGGCGCCUGGAGCCGCCAACAUUUGGCUGGGCACAGGGAGCCCGGGUCCGGGUGAAGGCGCGGGGCGGGACUGGGCUUGGGCGCUUCCUGGGCUGUCAAGUCCAGCCUGUUUCCCCGGGGGUGGGAAGGUGGGGAGGAGGGGUCCCCAGGGCUGCAGGCUAGGGUGGGGGCACUCGCGCGCCAGCCCGAUUUCCCAGAGCGAAUCGAGGGCAGCGACGAGUGCGUGUUUGCGCUGCUAACCUCCCCUUGGUGUCCGUUGCUGUUGCAGGCCGGCGCGGUGAACAAGCAGGGCGACAGCAUUCUGUGCCGCUGAGCCGCGCGGUCCAGGUGUGCGGCCGCCUGAGCCGGAGCCAGGAGACUAGAGAGGGAGGGGGAAGAGCAGAAGUUAGAGCAAAAGGCACCGGAGGAAAGGAGAAAACAUCGGCAACUCCUAGAAACGUUUUCACCCGUCAUUCCAAGAGAGAGGGAAAGGAAAGAAUAAAACUUUCAUCUUUUUUUUUUUUGCACGUUCAUAAAUACUCUACAUCCCGUAUUCUCUUUUGUCUCUUCAUCUGUAACCGCUGUGAAUUAUACACUUCUGUGUUUGUUUUUUUUGAGGUGCAGUUAAACUUUUAAGCUUAAGUGUAACAGAACUGAUAAAUAGAAAGGCAAGAGUAAAUGCGACUUUAGAAGCCUACUUGUGACCAAGGAGCUCAAUUUUUGUUUUGAAGCUUUACUAAUAUACCAGAGCAUUGUAGAUAUUUUUUUUUACAUCUAUUGUUUAAAAUAGAUGAUUAAAAUGGGGCAGGGAACUUUCUCUUUUUCCCUGCAAGAAUGUUACAUAUUGUAUAGAUAACUGAGUGACAUUUCAUACCAUGUAUAUAUAGAGAGAUGUUCUAUAAGUGUGAGAAAGUAUAUGCUUUAAUAGACUACUGUAAUUAUAAGAUAUUUUUAAUUAAAUAUUUUUUUGUAAAUAUUAUGUGUGUCUUUUUUUAAAUCUAUGGGAAUAUUUCUUUUGGAAAAUUAUUUUUCAGCUCAAUUGCAGAGCUCUUGAUAUUUUGAAUGUCUUUUCUGUUUGGCUUGGCUUUUAAUUUGUUUUUGUUUUGCGAAGUACCGUGUAGAAUCGGAAGUAACAGUUAUAGCUAGUGGUCCUGCAUGACUGCAUGAAAUGUUUAAUCACAAAAUAAACUUGUUCUGAGUCCAUUCAAAUGCCUUUUCUUUAACCUAGAUUGAAAUCCUUGUAUUUGAAGCAUACAUGUUGGAAAGAUAGUUUAUCAGUUUUUAAGUACAGGGCUUGAUAGUGUAAUACAAUACAUAGAGUCAGUGUUUGUUAUUUGUGUUUUGAUUGAGGUCAACAUGGACUCUGAAUGAUUUUGCAUAUGGGGAUAGGGAAAUGCUUGGAUCCUUAAGGAGUUUAUGAAAUCUGUUAAAUCAAAGUGGGGGAAAAAAAGCUUAUCAUUCUUCAUUUUACACUACAGUUUCAUGUUUGUACAGAUUAUUUAAAUCAUAGAAAUGAAAAAUGUUCUCUGCUUGCUACCAAAGGACAACCUCUUGGAAAUGAACACUUUCUGCUCUCCUUCCUCCAAAGAAUAUUAAUAGGCAACAGUGAGAGAAAAAAAUAAAAAGGCAUAGUGGCAAACCCUUCAAGCAGGGAUAAAAGUCGAUCUUCAAACAUUAACUUAAGUAGACCAAAAAUUGAUGACCACCUCUAGAUUAUUUUUUUAUAAAAAUGAUUUUCACUAUAGCUAUGUUAGUUACCGGUAAACUGUCCAAUCUCUUGUGAUGUGUAACUUUUACAUGUGAAUAUUAAAGUAGAUUUAUCUGUCUUGUACUGUGA